CAGAGGGAGGGUGCAGGGAGUCUCCAGCUGAGAGGAGCUCAGUGGUUUUCUGAUUCUGACUUGAGCACAGUUACAGACAACUUUCCUGUGAGUGCAGUUGAUUGCAUGCUCACACUGAUAUUGCAACAGCUGAACACGUGUGUGCACUUGUGUUGAGCUUCAGAGCUCAACCUCAAGUCGGCUUGUCCUCUUAUGACAGCUGUAGGAGAUGGCUCACCAAGGAGAGACAGAGAGAGAUAAAACCAGCAUAGCACCAGCUUCCCAUAUCAAGACCCAGUGCACAGGGAGCCAGGGAUCCCUGGGUUCUGAGCUAUGGCUACCACUUGUAUGGUCUUGGGCAAGCCCCUUACCCUGUAGAGGUUGCAGCUGCCUCAUCUGUCAGGGGAGGGGCUGUACCUUUGAGAUUCCUUCCAAAUCUGACCAUCUAGCCAGGACAGGCAUUUUCAAGAAACCCUGUUUGUUAUUUUCUUCUUUUGAUCUAAGUAACCGCAGGAUGCAGAAUGUGUAGUCCCAGGUGGAGUGAGCUCAAAGCCAAAAGAAGAGCAGGACCAACAAGGAAGAGAAUGAAGGCAGAAGUGAACAGGUAGAACCAAGCUUACAAGCCCAGAGUGGAGGACGAAAUUAACAAUGAGGAAUUCACACUCAGCAAAAAGCAAAAUAUGAAAGCCUGAUUGCGGAUUUCCUAAUGGACAAGAUUAUUUUCCUCUACAGAGAGCCUUAGGUUGCCAGAGGAACCAUCUGCAGGGCCCCAAAGCAUUUAGGAUCAGACUAUUCUGUCGACGUUAGCCUAGCCCACUGAUCUGGAGCAGGAUGUGACAUUCUCCGCUGGUGGUUUUGGCUUCAAUCCACCGAAGCCACAUGUCGAGGACUAAAAGAGGGAUCGGGCCCAUGUGUGGCUGAUUGGGCCCUAUCUUCUGGAGAGAGCUGGUACUCAUUAAGAACAGCCAAGAUUCUCAUCUUCCUGUCCCAAAAUCAGAGACCUUUCUUAGCUCUUUCAGGUCACCUGAGAUACUGGUUUGCCUCCCAAACCCUGCUGCCUCAGGAAUGCUGUGCUGCAGGGCUGUGUCUGUCAGUUUCCACCUGCAGGCUCCCUCACUCCUUCCUGCACUAAGCUAAUCAUUGCAUGUGUUACAAGGGUGGAAAUGGCACAUCUGGGCUGAAACCAGGACAGCAACAUGAACAAAAUGAAAAGUCCAAAGGGACAAGCUCACCUAAAAAUUACUUGUCCCCGUACUUCCCCCACCCUUCUCCUUUCUCCCUUAGACCCAAGUUGCAGAAGAAGAGCUUCAAUGUGAUAGAAAUACCUGGCUUUGCCCCUUGCCUUCCAGGGAUGUUUAGAGAAAACCGCUGAGACCCUUGGAUGUUGUGUUGUCUGCUGGGAUUCUCCCAAGGGCUGCAUCCAUAGUGUGGAAAUGGAUAGGGUGCUACAAGGCUAUUUCCACAAAGCACGUGUGGUAUUUGCAUGUGAUUUCCCUAUGCACACUGUGCAACCCCUCCCCAGACCAUUUUUCAAGUUAAAAACAUUUUUAUGGCUCUCUUGGUGCAGUCACUUCUGGAUUUUUCCUCCUAUCUGAGCUGCCUUCUCCCUCGGGCACUCUCCCUGGCCCAGAUCUUUGGCGAGGGAGCCAAGUGGAGCCAGGGAAGAACCAUAGAGGAAUGCAGGACUCAGCCCCUCUAGAGUCGGCUGCUCCGAGGGUCUAGCUGCUUAUCUCGCCUUUGCCCAGGGCACUGGCUGAGAUUCUAUUUCCAAAAUUGUUCACACUAGGUGAUUACACUGUAGACUGUGGGACUGUAGCUCAAUUCACAAAAAGUCUCUUUGAUCUAGAAGUUUCUAAACUGCCUUCUAUCCGUUUCUCUUCUGUCUCUGGUCAACAUUCUUUUAAAAAUGAGUCUUGGCUGGGUGUGGUGGCUCACGCCUUUAAUCCCACCACUUUGGGAGACCAAGGCGAGCGGAUCACCUGUGGUCAGGAGUUGGAGACCAGCCUGGACAACAUGGUGAAACUCCAUCUCUACUAAAAAUACAAAAGUUAGCCGGGCGUGGUGGCGGGCGCCUGUAGUCCCAGUUACUCAGGACGCUGAGGCAGGAGAAUCACUUGAACCCGGAAGGUGGAGGUUGCAGUGAGCCGAGAUCACACCAUUGCACUCCAACCUAGGCAGCAGAGUGAGGCUCUGUCUCAAAAACAAAACAAAACAAAAGAGUCUUGAUUCACUUAUUGCAUCUUUGCAAUAACCAUUGGAGACUGGGCUAUUUUCAGAGGAGGAAACGGAGACCGUUUCUAAGGGCUUAAGUCAAAGUUACAUAGCUGCUUAGGGGUUUGAUUUGUCCAACUCAAAGUCUAGUGCUCUUUCUGUGCCUCAUUCUCUUCGACUGUAAAAUCGGGGUGUAAAUAGCAUGUAUUUGAUAGGGUUGUUGGGAGGGUUGAAUGCUUUAAUACGUGUGAAGUGUUUAAAACAGCCUGGCACAUAGAGUGUUCCAUAAAUAUCCACUAAUUUUAUUGUGCUAUGCCUUGUUUUUCUUUACUAUUCUAAGCAUUGGACUCAUGACUCCUUCGUGGGAGGAGGAACCAACUUCUAGGCUUGGGGAGUAUUAUUCAAGAUGGAGAAGCUGGCUUCCCAGGGUCAGGCCAAGGUGGGACCAGAAGAGACACCCCAUAAGCAACAGGACUGGGCUGCUUGACUAAGCCACAUCCCUGCCUGGCCCUGGCUAAGCAGAAGAAACUCUCAGACAUGGAUAAACCCACAAAGGGAAGGGAUGUCCCGUUUACAAAAUGCCGAGGGCAGGAAGAACCAAGGCUUCUGAACAGAGCCGAGGAGCAUAAGGCAACAUUUUACUCUGUGAUGUGUCGAAGGCCUUGUGUUUUGAGGUGGUUCUAGAUUCUUAUUUGCAUUUUACCUUUACCCAGCAGUUACAAGGUAGGGCCUGUGUGUGCUGAAAGGAGUAUGGAGGAGGACACCAGUUCCCUCCCACAGGGAUGACUGAAAGCCCUGGAGUAGUUAGGACCAGGGACUCUGCCAGAGAGCUCUGGUGCUUGGGAGAAGCUGCCGGGGCAGGGACUUGCCCUGUAACCCAAGCCUUCGUUAGCAGCAGCCAAUAUAAAUGACAGGGAUGUGUUCCCACCAUCCUGAGGACCCUGGAGGAAACCAAGGCACUUAGCAUCAGGUCUGUUGGCUGCUGCUGAAAAGACGGCAAUGAAAAAUACGAAAUGUGCCGGGCGCGGUGGCUCACGCCUGUAAUCCCAGCGCUUUGGGGGGCGGAGGUCAGGAAUUGGAGACCAGUCUGGCCAGCAUGGUGAAACCCCAUCUCUACUAAAAGUAGAAAAAUUAGCCGGGUGUGGUGGCACAUGCCCGUAGUCUCAGCUACUCGGGAGGCUGAGGCAGGAGAAUCCCUUGAACCCAGGAGGCGGAGGUUGCAGUGAGCUGAGAUCACGCCACUGCACUCCAGCCUGGGCGACAGAGGGAGACUCCGUCUCAAAACACAGAAAAACAAAAACAAAAUAUAACCAGGAAAGACCUAGACUCCGUAAAAUAGCUUUACAAACCUAAUCAAGGGAACCAGACACCCCAAACUGUACUUCGAACACUGUUGAAAAGUUGUGAAAGUCAUGUUCUAGCAGUUGAAAUGUUUGCUGAUCAGUCCACUCUCUCAGGAAAAAAAACACCAGACCCACAAAGAAAAUAGAAGGUUUAAAACACAAAUGUCUGUAAUUAAGCAAUGGAAUGACGUCUUCCGCCGGCCCAAGCUUCCCACUGUUGUGUGUGUUUUUAUCAACAGGAGCUCCCGGUUCUGCCUGGCCCGGUUCGCUUUCGCCUGCGUUGACUCUCUUGGCACUCAGGCCUUUCCAAAGUUUCCGGGGUCCCGUUUCCACGAUACAGACAGAGGCUGGAUGUCUUGAUCUUAUCCUCAGUCGAUGUUCUCCUAACUUUAGGGCUACAAGGAGCCUUAAACAGCAUGUAUAGAGUUGGGAGCGCUUUGAAUAGACGCACGUGAGAGGGAGGCGGCAUCUUCCUAGCCGGUCACCAGCAUUAACACGGGGCAGGAGACAUGCGAAUGCACCGUGGGACCCCUCUCCCUACCCCCCUGCAUGAGAUUUCCGAAGACCUCCGCCGGCCGACGCUGAGGGGCGGGGUUGGGAAGGCUUCCUCCAGGCGCGGGAGCAGCGGAGCGGGGACCGCCCGCUUUGGGACGCCCAGGACAAUGGCGAGCGAGCUCCCGGCCAGUCCUCGCGGACCGCGGGAGGGGGCGGCUCCCUGCGCGGUAAUCCGAGCCGGGAUAAACAGGCGCGGAGGGGCGACGCGUCCCGGCCGGGUGCAGCGCUCGUCUCCUGGGGUCCCAGCUCCGGCCGGUCCCGCCCCGCCCCGC
rnacentral:lncRNA from 10 species